UGGGAGCCCGGGAAGCACUCUCCCCACGCCGCGCCCGGCCCCGGUCCUCGGAACCAUCCGCCCUGAAAGGAGAGAAGAGCGAGCCGGAGAAGAUCCCACCUGGUCUUCAGAUAAUCAAGGCUUGUGCCCCUCUGGUUAGCUCCUCCUCUCCAAUGCACUUUGCUACGUUCCUCUGCAAAUUCAGAUCUCUACUUAAACACCACUUCCUCUGGUACACUUUCCACGAUUCCCUUAGGCUGUCAUUGCUGUGUGCACUUUGUCGCCCGUCAUUGACCUUAUCCAGUGUCUGGAAGUCAAGAUUACAAGGGGAGAAGAGGCAAAAGAUGAGGCUGAAAAAAUAACUUCGUUUGGUUCAUUCCUUCCUUCUUCCUUGAAUUCUUCUCCAGCCGGCCUGUAUCGCAAUGUCUGCAAUUACUAGAGCCUCCUACUGGCUGGGCAUGGUGGCUCACACCUGUAAUCUCGGUACUCUGGGAAGCCAAGGCUGGAGGAUCACUUGAGACCAGCCCAGCAACAUGUCUCUACAAAAAAUAAAAAAUUACCAGGGGUAGUGGCGCACACCUGUAGUACUAGCUACUUGGGAGGCUAGGAGGAUUACUUGAGCCCAGGAAUUUAAGUCUGCAGUGAGCCGGGAUCAUGCCACUGUAAUCCAUCCUGGGCCACAAACAUAGUGAGACCCUG
rnacentral:lncRNA from 1 species